ensembl:lncRNA
CUUCUAGUAACUGAACAUGCAGUUCUGGGUGGGCUGACUCUACCCUCUGGGGCAGGUGGGCACUUAGCCUGGCUAAUUAGACCCUUUGAUUUGGCCACUGUGAUUGCUUCUGGGGCAGAGAUCCAAACUGAACCAGCACUGGGGAGGAGCUGUUGCCAGGACAGCUGGAGGGGGAGAGAGGAUGUGACACAAGCCCAGGGCAGGCAACCAGCAGCUGCCCGAGAAUGUCGGCAACAUGGGGGAAGGCGAUGCCAAGAGACGGAGAGAGCCAGCCUGCGUGCUCAGGAUGGUUCUGGAUCCAGCCCAGCCUGAAGCAAGUCUACCCCUGGGACUCCUGAAUAAAUUCUCUCUCCCUCUUGCUCAAGCCAGUGGGAGUGGUGCUUUGUCAUUUUCUACCAAGAGUUUCACCUAAAUACCUAAUGAAAAUGACGCUUGUUUGCUUCUCUGCUCUCCGGUGAGUCAUAGAAAAGACAGUGUAUCCCUUACCUGUGAACCACAAGCUGGGUCUCCAAAGACCAGCAGGACACAGUGUUUUGUUUUGUUUUGUUUUUCAAUUAUUUGUUUAUUUGACUUAGCUGGGUCUUAGUUGUGGCCCAUAGGAUCUUCAGUUGAGGCAUGCGGAAUCUAGUUCCCUAACCAGGAAUUGAACCCAGGGCCGCUGAGUUGGGAGGGAGGAGACUUAGACACUAGACUGCCAGGGAAGUGCCCGCAAUGACUUUUUCACUUACUCCUAUGAAACAGAAGGUGUGGUUCUAUAAACUAAGUACGAACAUAGGAAGCAACUGAUUUCUAUCUUUUAGGCACAUAAACAUGUAAAUAUAAAUAGAUAAUCUGCUAUGAACAUUUCUGCAAAACUUUGUAUGGAUAUAUGUUUUUAUUUCUCCCAAGUAAAUACCUAGAAGUGGCAUUACCUAGCAACUGAUGGUCCUACUUGCUCCACAUGCUUGUCUUGUGUGUGUUUGCCAAUUUCAGCCCUUCUAAUAGGAGGAGUGGUAUUUUAUUGUGGUUUUAAUGUACAUUUCCCUAAUUGCCUGAGCUUUUUUCACCACCAGGUUAAAAAUGUAUUUAUGAGUAUAUAUGUAUGUCAGUGUGUUAGUCAUUCAGUCAUGUCUUUUGACUCUUUGUGACCCCAUGAACUAGGUAGCCUGCCAGGCUCUUCUGUCCAUGGGAUUCUCCAGGCAAGAAUACUGCGGUGGGUUGCCAUUUCCUUCGCCAGGGGAUCUUCCCAACCCAGGGAUGGAAUCCAGGUCUGCAUUGCAGGCAGAUUCUUUACCAUCUGAGCCACCAGGGGAGACUUAACAAAUUAAGUUUCAUUAUGGUUAAGUGUCUUUUCAGAUAUUUUGACUAUCUGUGGGUGUUGUUUGCUUAUUAUGGACUAGUGAGAAUUCCCUGAAUAUGAAAAGUCAUCAUAUAUAUAUAUAUUUUUUCCCUAGUCUGAUGCUUGUCUUUCCAUCCUCUUAGCUUUGUCUUUGAAGAGCAGUUUUUAAUUUUGAUGUAGUCCAGUUUAUCCAUUGUUCUUUUGGAAUUAUAGUACUAUGUGUAUCUAAGAAAAAUUUCUUAGAUUUUGAGACUUUCUUAAAAUUUUAGGAACAUUUUCUCCCAGAAAUUUCUUCUAGAAAUUUUGUAGUUUAACGGCCUUGAGUUUAGGUCUAUGAUCUGUUUUGAGUUAAUUUUUGUGUAUGGUACAAGAUGUGGAUUGAAGUUUGAGCUUUUGCGUAUGAAUAUACAAUUGUUGUGGUACCGUUUGUUGAAAGGACUAUUGUGUCUCUACUGAAUCACCUUUGUUACCUUUGUUGAAAAUCAGUCGUCUGUAUACAUGUGGGUCAAUCGCUGGACCCUAUUCUAUUCUGUUGAUUUAUUUGUGUAUUUUAAUGCCACACUGUCUUUAUUACUGUGGCUUCAUGAAUCUUGGAAUCAAGUUCUGUAAAUCAUUCAAUUUUGUUCGUCUUUUUCACAGCUAUUUUGACUCUUCUAGGUCCUUUGCAUUUCCAUAUGAAUUUUGGAAUCAGCUUGUCAAUGUCUACAAUAAAGCUUGCUGGAAAUGUAAGAUAUAUAUAUAUAUAAAGCUUGGGAGUGAGUUGAUUAUCAUUAUGAGUUACUGAUCUAAUCACCAUAAGAGACUUACAGUUGUGUAUGAAUCCAGAUCCACACACUCAGGUAUGGGGACCACGUCACAAGAUUUUAUCUUCUUUAACCUGACUCCACGCUUCCAUCCCAAUGGUGAGUUUGCCAUGGAGCCACCUCUUCCACCUCCUCAUCUCCUCACUGCUUCUGGAUCAUGGGCCCCCGCCUCCCUCCCCAGCCUGAGCAACCUCCCGGCUCUCCCUCCAUCCACACCCCACUGCCCCCCAACUCAUGAGUUUAGGUUUUCUUUAUAGACUGCAAGAGAGAUGCCCUCAAAAGCCCUUGAUUUUCAACCCAGACCUUCCUGAAGACUAGAAAGCAUGAAGAAACAUCUACCUGGUUGGUACGAAUGGAAGAAAAAUUACUGUUUGAACAGAAUACAAAUAUCUCAGUAAUUUUCCUACCACGAGGCUUCCCAAUAAUGAACUCACCGUUGUUGUUUGUCAACCAGACAAGGCUCUGUGGCUGUUUGGAGUGUAUUUACUGCUCUCUGGCAAAUAUUAACAUGGAAUGCCCCAGGUUGCAUGUGGGAUCUUAGUGCCCUGACCAGGGAUUGAACCCUUGCCCCGUGCAGUGGAAGCACAGAAUCUUAACCAGUAGAUCACUAGAAAAUAUAAGAUGACACCUGUGGCUCAUGUCCUAUCUCCUGGAUGGCACUGCUGGACAAAAGAGAGACCUUUGAACACUCAGUGAAGAUUUUCCAGCUUAUUUCCUUCCCAUGUCUUGGUCAUUCAUCUCUUCCUUCAAUUAUCUGAAAACAUCACAAUACUUCAUAGAUUCAUGUAUAAACUAUCUGAAGUUCAUAUCUAUUUCUUGCCACAAAAUUAAAUCGCAGGAUGUUGCAAGAAUUCAGAAAAAGAUUAAAUCACCUUGAGUUCUACUCAAGUAGAGAGGGGAAACCAUGAAUUUAACAUGUGGCCUGAACACAUGUAGUUAUCUCCACUCAUCCCAGAGUUCACUAAAAUAACCACAUACAGAUUUAAAAAGCCAUACAAACCCUAUUAGGGCACAGACGACAGAAGUGACCACAAGCGAAAAAGAGACAUCAGCACUGUUUUUAAAGAUGGAAAGUAGACAAGCGCAAGCAGGAAGAGGCUUGGUAGAUCAAACUCGUCUCAAAUGCCGCAUUGGGGAUAGGGUGGUGGAUAAAAGCAAGGGGCUUUAAAAAAUAAGCUUUUUUUUUUUUUUUUUUUUUUUGCAUCAGAAUACUGGAAAAUCUACUCUGGUGGCUCAACAGUAAAGAAGUCACCUGCAAUGCAGGAGACAUGGGUUCGAUCCCUGGGUCGGGAAGAUCCCCUGGAGAAGGAAAUGGCAACCACUUCAGUAUUCUUGCCUGGGAAAUCCACAUGUCUCUGCCCUCAGCUCCGCACCCCGCCCCCAUCCCUGCUCAUUUGUUGCAUGGUCAGUGAGGCUCACUCUGAUCAUCAUAUUUUUAUUGUAAUCUGACUUCCUCUCACUAUUGGCACUCCUAACCCUCCUAUCCUGCUCUGCUGUUCUUAUUACUUUCUAACACACAAGACCAGUGAUAUAUUUAUGUCUAUUCACUUUAUCUGUUUUCUUCAUGAGGAUACUUUAAGGCAAGUCUUUUGUCUGUUUAUAUAUAUAUAUAUAUAUCCCAAGUACCUAAAACAGAAUCUGGUACAUGUUAGGCAACAAAUAAGCAUUUGUUGAAUGCAUGAACAAAUGAAGAAUGGAGACAAGGCUGAAUGAGAAAUCACCAGAGAAUUCUUAUUUAUGGAAUCAAUCCAUCGAUGAGCCUGGAGACAAUGAGGGGAUGAGCAAUGUCAAUCCUGGUUGGUUGAGGUGAGAUAAAGGCUAAAAUAAUUCACUAACUAUAAACUUUAUGUCAUGAGUGGAAUUCCUGACAAGGAAUUCCAAUUCCUGGAAGUCCUAUAUUAUGUCCUGAUGAUUCAUCCAUACAUUUCUGUGACAAAUAGUACCACAAAGAACUCACUUCAUUGAAAGAGGAAUAAUAAAAAUUAAAACAAUAAUAAUAAAAGAUGAAAUAUUAAAUUUAUAAAUUUAUUCACAAGAAAAAAAGCUGAGGAAAAUAACAGAAAAAAGAAAAGAUAAAUGAAGACCCCUCCCUGGAAAAAUGUUACCCAAGAGCACAUGAGAAUCUGACCAUACAUAUGGUCAGUUCAGUUCAGCUCAGUCGCUCAGUCGUGUCCGACUCUUUGCGACCCCAUGAACCAGGCCUCCCUGUCCAUCACCAUCUCCUGGAGUUCCCUCAGACUCAGCCAUCUCAUCCUGGGUCGUGCCUUCUCCUCCUGCCCCCAAUCCCUCCCAGCAUCAGAGUCUUUUCCAAUGAGUCAACUCUUCGCAUGAGGUGGCCAAAGUACUGGAGCUUCAGCUUUAGCAUCAUUCCUUCCAAAGAAAUCCCAGGGCUGAUCUCCUUCAGAAUGGACUAGUUGAAUCUCCUUGCAGUCCAAGGGACUCUCAAGAGUCUUCUCCAACACCACAGUUAAAACGCAUCAAUUCUUCGGCGCUCAGCCUUCUUCACAGUCCAACUCUCACAUCCAUACAUGACUACUGGAAAAACCAUAGCCUUGACUAGAUGGACCUUAGUUGGCAAAGUAAUGUCUCUGCUUUUGACUAUACUAUCUAGGUUGGUCAUAACUUUUCUUCCAAGGAGUAAGUGUCUUCUAAUUUCAUGGCUGCAGUCACCAUCUGCAGUGAUUUUGGAGACCCAAAAUAUAAAGCCUGACACUGUUUCCACUGUUUCCCCAUCUAUUUGCCAUGAAGUGAUGGGACCAGAUGCCAUGAUCUUCGUUUUCUGAAUGUUGAGCUUUAAGCCAACUUUUUCACUCUCCUCUUUCACUUUCAUCAAGAGGCUUUUUAGCUUCUCUUCACUUUCUGCCAUAAGGGUGGUAUCAUCUGCAUAUCUGAGGUUAUUGAUAUUUCUCCCGGCAAUCUUGAUUCCAGCUUGUGUUUCUUCCAGUCCAGCAUUUCUCAUGAUGUACUCUGCAUAUAAGUUAAAUAAGCAGGGUGACAAUAUAUAGCCUUGAUGUACUCCUUUUCCUAUUUGGAACCAGUCUGUUGUUCCAUGUCCAGUUCUAACUAUUGCUUCCUGAUCUGCAUACAGAUUUCUCAAGAGGCAGGUUAGGUGGUCUGGUAUUCCCACCUCUUUUAGAAUUUUCCACAGUUUAUUGUGAUCCACACAGUCAAAGGCUUUGGGAUAGUCAAUAAAGCAGAAAUAGAUGUUUUUUCUGGAACUCUCUUGCUUUUUCCAUGAUCCAGCAGAUGUUGGCAAUUUGAUCUCUGGUUCCUCUGCCUUUUCUAAAACCAGCUUGAACAUCAGGGAGUUCACGGUUCACGUAUUGCUGAAGCCUGGCUUGGAGAAUUUUGAGCAUUACUUUACUAACAUGUGAGAUGAGUGCAUUGUGCGGUAGUUUGAGCAUUCUUUGGCAUUGCCUUUCUUUGGAAUUGGAAGGAAAACUGACCUUUUCCAGUCCUGUGGCCACUGCUGAGUUUUCCAAACUUGCUGGCAUAUUGAGCGCAGCACUUUCACAGCAUCAUCUUUCAGGAUUUGAAACAGCUCAACUGGAAUUCCAUCACCUCCACUAGCUUUGUUUGUAGUGAUGCUUUCUAAGACCCACUUGACUUCACAUUCCAAGAUGUCUGGCUCUAGAUUAGUGAUCAUAUCAUUAUGAUUAUCUGGGUCAUGAAGAUCUUUUUUGUACAGUUCUUCCGUGUAUUCUUGCCACGUCUUCUUAAUAUCUUCUGCGUCUGUUAGGUCCAGACCAUUUCCGUCCUUUAUCGAGCCCAUCUUUGCAUGAAAUGUUCCCUUGGUAUCUCUAAUUUUCUUGAAGAGAUCUCUAGUCUUUCCCAUUCUGUUGUUUUCCUCUAUUUCUUUGCACUGAUCGCUGAAGAAGGCUUUCUUAUCUCUUCUUGCUAUUCUUUGGAACUCUGCAUUCAGAUGCUUAUAUCUUUCCUUUUCUCCUUUGCUUUUUGCCUCUCAUGACUCCUAAAACUCAAUGAACAAAUCUGCUUUAUAAAAUAAGAACAUAAAUUUUAAAAAAAAAGAACGUAAAUUAGAGCUACAAGAGAUUAAAGAAAGUGUAAAGAGACAACCAAAAGAAGAAGGAAGUGGUAUCAGUAAAACUGUGAACUUCGAAGCCUUGCUUUAGGAAUUUUACUUUUCUAUUUCAAGAAUCUUGCUCACCAUAGAAAUACUGAGAAAACAACUAGAAGCUGUCUGAGUCAACAUUGUAGGAGCUCCAGAAAACAAGCAAAGGUUAGCAGCAACCAAGCAAACAUCCAUUCAAGAAGAGGUCAUCUUCUGCACUUUGCUGGUGGUCCAGUGGUUAGGAUUCCGUGCUCUCAUUCCUAAGGGCCUGGGUUCAAUCCUUAGUCAAAGAACUUCGCGGAAGCCUCACAGUGUGACUAAAAAAAAAAAAAAGGAAAAGUAAAAAAUUGUACACGUAUUAUGAGUCCAAAUUGAUAUAAAUAAAUGAUUGAAUAAUUUCCUGAGUGGGAGAGAAGAGACACACCUCCAGUCAGAAUUAUAUAGUUCCUCUGUUGAAUUCUCAUUGAUCCAUUUCCAUUGAUCAAUUCCAGCACUAGAGGGAAGACUGUCUUGGACCUACUGAGAGAAAGUCAAUUUUCUCCAACAGGCCACCUUCCUUCAAGGACAGUUUGGACUAUGGAUGGCUGAAAUGAGAAGCUAAGCUCAAGGAAGAUGGGACCCUAUUGCUUAACUAUCUGCUAGGGCCCACACAGGGCCAUACUUGAGGCAGGGCCCUACAUUUGCUUUUUAAACAGUCCUAAAUCCAAUGGAAAGAGGAGCCUGGUAGGCUGCAGUCCAUGGGGUCGCUAAGAAUCGGGCUUGACUGAGCAACUUCACUUUCACUUUUCACUUUCAUGCUUUGGAGAAGGAAAUGGCAACCCAUUCCAGUGUUCUUGUCUGGAGAAUCCCAGGGAUGGGGGAGCCUGGUGGGCUGCCAUCUCUGGGGUCUCACAGAGUCGGACACAACUGAAUCGACUUCGCAGCAGCAGCAGCAAUGGUGCCAUCUGGGGUGCCAUGUGGUGUGAUGUUUCCAAACCAUUUAGUGCUGAGAUUGGAACAUGUACAUAAAAGAUGAUCACUGGCACCACUUCAGUGAUGCUCUCCACCUUCUUCCUAAACAAACAGUGGCCUCUCUGCCUCCUCUUUCUUCCUCAGCCCUGCCUCACAUGACCUUCAAGUUCACUAUGCCUCCGCCCUCACCUGCGCACUCCUGCCCACCAUUUAUUCCACCUUGAACCUAUGCUUGCCUAUGGAUACCUACUAGAUAAGAGUAGAUGAUUAAUAUUACCAGAGACUUGGAAACCCACAAUAGCUUCGAGGACCUGGCCCCGAUUCAAACCUGCAGGACAGAAGCCACAUUACACUCAGUGGUGAAGGCAUUUUUUCAAAUCCCACCCUUGCAUUAGUGCACGUGGAACCAAUGCUGAUGACCACUGUGUUCAAACAUGUGGAGGGGGCUGUACUUCCUCCACUUCAUUUCCAUUGCUUGGUUCUUCUCCAAGCUGCUGAUCUCCAGCUGCACUUGUUUUUGACUUUGUGGCUCAGCCAGUAAAGAAACCACCUGCAAUGUGGGAGACCUGGGUUUGAUCCCUGGGUUGGGGAGAUCCUCUGGAGGAGGGAGAGGCUACCCACUCCAGUAUUUUGACCCGGAGAAUUCCGUGGACAUAGGGUCGCAAAGAGUCGGAGAUGACAGAGAGACUUUCACUUUUACUUUGCAGGGACUACAGGGAAGGGCAAAGGGUAGUUUGCUAUUCUAAGCAGUUUGGAGCUUUAUCCUAAGGAAUGGGGAGCCAUUGGGAGGUUUUUGAGAAGGUCAGAUUCAUAUUUUUGUCUUAAAUGAUAUGUUCAAUCUGAUGGCAGUGUUUAGGUCUCCCAGUGGUUUUACGUAGGAAGAAGUAUCACGCACCAGGGGCUUUCCAGGUGGCUCAGUGGUAAAGAAUUCACUUGCCGAUGCAGGAGACACAGGAGACCUGGGUUUGAUCCCUGGGUUGGGCAGAUCCCCUGAAGAAGGAAAUGGCAACCUACUCCAGCAUUCUCGUAGCCUGGCAGGAGUUGCAUGGAGUUGCAAGUCUUACAUGACUUAGCUACUAAACAAUAGCAAAUACAUAUGUGUGUGUGUGUGUGUGUGUGUGUGUGUGUGUGUGUGUGUGUAUGCUUUUUCAAAUUCUUUUCCACUACAGGAUACUGAGUAUAGUUAUCUGUACUAUACUGUAGGUUCUUGUUCUUUACCUAAAUUAUAUAGUAUAUAGUAGCGUGUAUAUUGGAGAAGGCAACGGCACCCCACUCUAGUACUCUUGCCUGGACAAUCCCAUGGAUGGAGGAGCCUGGGAGGCUGCAGUCCAUGGGGUUGCUGAGAGUCAGACAUGACUGAGCGACUUCACUUUCACUUUUCACUUUCAUGCAUUGGAGAAGGAAAUGGCAACCCAUUCCAGUGUUCUUGCCUGGAGAAUCCCAGGGAUGGGGAGUCUGGUGGGCUGCCGUCUAUGGGGUCUCACAGAGUCAGACACAACUGAAGCGACUUAGCAGCAGCAGCAUCGUGUAUAUGUUAAUCCCAUACUCCUAAUUUAUUCCCCCAUUCCUUUUGGAAACCACAAGUUUGUUUUCUAUGUCUAUGAGUCUAUUUCUGUUUUGUGAAUAAGUUCGUUUGUAACAUUUUUUUAAA